rnacentral:rRNA from 1 species
ACGAACGCUGGCGGCAGGCCUAACACAUGCAAGUCGAGCGAGGACUUCGGUCCUAGCGGCGGACGGGUGAGUAACGCGUGGGAACGUGCCCUUUGCUUCGGAAUAGCCCUGGGAAACUGGGAGUAAUACCGGAUGAGCCCUUUGGGGGAAAGAUUUAUCGGCGAAGGAUCGGCCCGCGUUGGAUUAGGUAGUUGGUGGGGUAAUGGCCUACCAAGCCGACGAUCCAUAGCUGGUUUGAGAGGAUGAUCAGCCACACUGGGACUGAGACACGGCCCAGACUCCUACGGGAGGCAGCAGUGGGGAAUCUUAGACAAUGGGGGAAACCCUGAUCUAGCCAUGCCGCGUGAGCGAUGAAGGCCUUAGGGUUGUAAAGCUCUUUCAGCUGGGCAGAUAAUGACGGUACCAGCAGAAGAAGCCCCGGCUAACUCCGUG